GGGCCCGCACAAGCAGCGGAGCAUGUGGUUUAAUUCGAAGCAACGCGAAGAACCUUACCAGGGCUUGACAUCCCUCUGGCCGGUACAGAGAUGUACCUUUUCUUCGGAACAGAGGAGACAGGUGGUGCAUGGUUGUCGUCAGCUCGUGUCGUGAGAUGUUGGGUUAAGUCCCGCAACGAGCGCAACCCCUAUCUUUAGUUGCCAUCAGGUAGAGCUGGGCACUCUAGAGAGACCGCCGGGGAUAACUCGGAGGAAGGUGGGGAUGACGUCAAAUCAUCAUGCCCCUUAUGUCCUGGGCUACACACGUGCUACAAUGGCCUGAAACAGAGAGAAGCGAAGCCGUAAGGUGGAGCAAACCUCAGAAACCAGGUCCCAGUUCGGAUUGUGGGCUGCAACCCGCCCACAUGAAGUCGGAGUUGCUAGUAAUCGCGAAUCAGCAUGUCGCGGUGAAUGCGUUCCCGGGCCUU
rnacentral:rRNA from 1 species